UGGGGAAUAUUGGACAAUGGGGGCAACCCUGAUCCAGCAAUGCCGCGUGUGUGAAGAAGGUCUUCGGAUUGUAAAGCACUUUCGACGGGGACGAUGAUGACGGUACCCGUAGAAGAAGCCCCGGCUAACUUCGUGCCAGCAGCCGCGGUAAUACGAAGGGGGCUAGCGUUGCUCGGAAUGACUGGGCGUAAAGGGCGUGUAGGCGGUUUACACAGUCAGAUGUGAAAUCCCCGGGCUUAACCUGGGAGCUGCAUUUGAUACGUGUAGACUAGAGUGUGAGAGAGGGUUGUGGAAUUCCCAGUGUAGAGGUGAAAUUCGUAGAUAUUGGGAAGAACACCGGUGGCGAAGGCGGCAACCUGGCUCAUGACUGACGCUGAGGCGCGAAAGCGUGGGGAGCAAACAGGAUUAGAUACCCUGGUAGUCCACGCUGUAAACGAUGUGUGCUAGAUGUUGGGUAACUUUGUUAUUCAGUGUCGCAGUUAACGCGUU
rnacentral:rRNA from 1 species